AAUCUUAUAGUUAUAUAAUAUAAAAUAUUAAAUUGCAAAUUUAAAGAAUUUUAAUUUAAAAUAAGAUUU
rnacentral:tRNA from 1 species